UACGAAGGGGGCUAGCGUUGCUCGGAAUCACUGGGCGUAAAGGGUGCGUAGGCGGGUUUUUAAGUCAGGGGUGAAAUCCUGGAGCUCAACUCCAGAACUGCCUUUGAUACUGAAGAUCUUGAGUCCGGGAGAGGUGAGUGGAACUGCGAGUGGAGCGGUGAAAUGCGUAGAUAUCGCUUGGAAACGCCAAAGGUGAAAACAGGUUGCUGGGGGUUGUGCCGACGACUGGAGACACGAAAGCCCAGGGGAGC
rnacentral:rRNA from 1 species